GUCCCUGUAGCGCAAUGGAUAGCGCGUUGGACUUCUAAUCAAAAGGUAGUGGUUUUGAAUAUCACCUGGGAUG